GCACAAGCGGUGGAGUAUGUGGUUAAUUCGAUGCAACGCGAAGAACUUACCUGGUCUUGACAUCCCGGAGACCCUUAGGAAACUAGGGGUGCUCCAUCUGGAGAAUCUGGAGACAGGUGCUGCAUGGCUGUCGUCAGCUCGUGUCGUGAGAUGUUGGGUUAAGUCCCGCAACGAGCGCAACCCUUGCCUUAGUUGCCAGCAGUUCGGCUGGCACUCUAAAGGGACUGCCGGUGUUAAACCGGAGGAAGGUGGGGAUGACGUCAAGUCCUCAUGGCCUUUAUGACCAGGGCUACACACGUACUACAAUGGCCGAUACAAAGGGCAGCGACACUGCGAGGUGAAGCCAAUCCCGUAAAAUCGGUCUCAGUCCGGAUUGGAGUCUGCAACUCGACUCCAUGAAGUUGGAAUCGCUAGUAAUCGUGGAUCAGCAUGCCACGGUGAAUACGUUCCCGGGCCUU
rnacentral:rRNA from 1 species